UAGAAUACAGGUAUAUAUGUGUUUACAUACCUACAUUAGAUACAUACAUUAUAGUAUUAUACGGCACAUAUACAAGAUACUCGUAUGAGAAGAGCCGUAAUUUAACUUCCCCCGGAGCGUGAACUGGUUUCGAACGAGUGCCAUGCCUUUUACGUUUUCUGGUUUUUGUGCUCCUCACGGAGGGAGACAAGGGCCGACGACUUUUAAUGGACGACAGGGCGAGCCCCAUAGGCGUAAACCGCGAUUGUACUCCCAUUCAGAGUCUAAUAUCCCAUCUACUUCAACGACCGGAAUACUAUAAAAGAAACUCUUUGUUACUUUCGAUCUCAAUUAUUGGAAACCUAAUAUAUGAACAAAAUUGAAAUACGUCUGUUACAUGCAAAUAUAAAUUAAAUAAAAAAAAAGAAAAAUAAAAUGGCAAUAUAAAAUAUUAUUAAAAUUUAUUAAAAAAAUAAUGUAACGUAAUUUGAUACUUUUUAUUUAAUCUAAAUUCCAUUAAAAUAUAAAAAUAGAUUAAAUUUGUUUAAUCGAUAUUUAUAUUUUGAUUAUAUAAAAUUAUACAAAUGUAUUUGAGAAAUACAUUUUUAAUAGAAAGAAA